CUCUUGGCCUGACCUCCUCACAUCCUCAAGUUACUUUCCUUGAGGGAAAGGUAGCCAAAAACACUGUGAAACUAUCCUGCCUUAAAAAGGCUGUCUCAGGCUGAAGGUGACUUCUCAGUCCCCCAAACUCCAUUGGCCAUCAAGACCAACACUUCGGCAUAUGACACAAAUGACCCAUUGAAACAUCACUGUAACUAUAUGAGCUCGGAAAACUGGGUGUCUGUCCAAGAUUCAUGAAAGCAAAGGUUCUCAAUCCUUAACCAAUUACUUUUCCUAUCAUUACCAUCAACACCCAACCCUUAACCAGUUCUGGGCUGAAUAUUCACAAGGAAUCUACGAUCUAGAAUAGCCUUCAUAAGACCACACCAAUCAUGUCAAGUCACUGUGUAUAAAAAAUAUGUAUAAGAAAGAGAGCGGUUAAAAAAUCUAUAGAUAUUUAUGAGUCUCUCUGAUGUGCUGGUGGCUGUGAAAUGCAAGAACAUGAAAGAUUCAGCUGCCUGGACCUGGGAAGGAACUUACAAUAUCCCGCUGAGAAAAUCAGACACGUGACCAGCUGCUGCCUAGAGAAACUGUGAGGUGGCGUAGAAAUCAUUCAGUAUAAUGUGCAGGUCCUUCCUAGAGAUUUAAGACCACUACUGAACAACAACAACAACAACAACAAUGAUGACAACAACAACAACAAAACACUCUGUCAGAGAGGGGUAAAAGCUUGCUUCGUUGCCAUACAAGAUAUCCUAUAUCUAAUAUCGUCAAAUCCUAAUUGAA